CUCAGACGUUUACUUGUAAAGAACUAAAAACAAUUUAUAUCAGCAACGAUCAUCCAUCUGAAGACUAUUUCUAUUAUGACAAGAAUAUUUCUAUCUGUUGAGCUUUUUUCGCUUAUCUUAAAUUGCGUGUCUGUACAAACAGAGGCCUGCAUGGGUGGUUGGUUUGGCUCCAGAUGUCAGUAUCAAUGUCAUUGCAAGAAUAACUUGGCGUGUGAUGACGAUGGUCAGUGUGUAACAGGAUGUGACGCAGGUUGGUUUGGUACCGGAUGUCAGUAUGUUAACCUGGCGACAUUAUCGGAUAAUCUAGUUACUAUGACACCAACCCAAACAUCAACAACAUGGCUGACAGAUGGAGAUGAUACCACGUGCAAUGGAGAUGUAAACAUUGGCUCCAUACAAAUAGAUUUCAACGGAUCCUACCCAUUCACGUGGUUAAGAAUAAAAAUAAAAAAUACGUCACAAACACUUUUAAAUGUCAAUUUGACAUUUAUAACCAGUAGGAAUGACACUUUCAACUGCAUCAACAAACAAGUUUCCCUCAUAGACAGCACAACAGUUGACUACAGAUGUGAGAUGAGUGAUACGACCACAGAGCUAAAUCUGACAGGACCAGCGCUCAAGUCUCUGUGUUCUUUCUAUAUCAGUGGAGGACGUAAUGUCGCCUUACGACAAACAGCAGAACAAACUAGUACGUACUCGGAAGACAACAUACUCUUUACCGCACCACUAGCGGUAGAUGGAGGUACUAACUGCAAUUUGCCGCAGGGUAGCACAUCACACACUUUUGAUACUGACUCGAACCCAAGCUGGAGUCUCACACUAGACACACCCAAAGUUGUCAACAGAUUUGUCAUUUACAACAGAGGUGACUGUUGCAGGAUUCGUUUAAGACACUUUGAGUUGACGACAUUUGAUACCAACAACAACAUGUUAUGGACGUAUCUAGAUCCGAUUCAGCAAGAAGACACUGCUACCUACACAUUUUCAAGAAUACAAAAUAAUGCCGUCUCUAAGAUAAGAAUUAUCCCUACAUACAUCCAUCCAUCUGAUACUCGAAAAAAUCAUUUCGUUAUGUGAGGUUUUCAUUUACGGAGGUAAGGAAGUUAUCGUCUCAGCUAAAGCAGGGAAUCCCAAACUGUGGUACGCAGACUCCCAAAGGAUCCGUGAGACGACCGAAGCGUAUCAGCAAAAAAAAACAAAAAAAAAACAAAAAAAAAACAAAAAAAAAACAAAAAAAAAAAACAAAAAAAAAACAAAAAAAAAACAAAAAAAAAACAAAAAAAAAACAAAAAAAAAACAAAAAAAAAACAAAAAAAAAAACAAAAAAAAAACAAAAAAAAAACGAAAAUGUACACAAUGGAAAGAACGUAUCCGCUAAAAGCCAGUUUAUCCUAUCGGAUAAUUUGAAUAUUAAUCAAUUCGCCCCUCACUUCUGUUUAAUGGUGACCGGUCACUUCAUCCCCGGUCACUUCAUCCCCGGUCAUUUCAUCCCCUGGUCAUUUCAUCCCCUGGUCACUUCAUCCCCCGGUCAUUUCAUCCCCUGGUCAUUUCAUCCCCUGGUCACUUCAUCCCCCGGUCACUUCAUCCCCCGGUCAUUUCAUCCCCUGGUCACUUCAUCCCCCGGUCACUUCAUCCCCCGGUCAUUUCAUCCCCUGGUCACUUCAUCCCCCGGUCACUUCAUCCCCCGGUCAUUUCAUCCCCUGGUCACUUCAUCCCCCGGUCACUUCAUCCCCUGAUAUUUUCAUCAUCUGAUAAUUUUAUCUAACAAAUUGUAAUUUAAAAAGCAUUAAAUGAGCAAUAUUUAAUGUAUUCCUUUUUUAUUUAAAUGACAGAGAGAGAGAGAGAGAAAGAAAGAGAUAGAGAGAGAGAGAAUCACACCCUAAAUAUACAUGAAAGAUUAUUUCCAAUAAGCACUCAAACAAUUAAUUUUAAGGCUAUAGGAACCUCAUCAUGACGGGUAUGUUCACAUAACUAGAGGCCCCCCACCAGUUUCAAUAUCUAGAAUGAAUAUCAAUAAACAAAAUACAUACUUACAUAUACGUGUAGAAAUGAAAUAUCGAUAGAAAUAAAGUCCUAUAACACAAUUUGUAACUUUAAUGUUUAUAAGGAAGACCGCCUUUAUUAGAAAAAAUAAAACCUUAUUACAAGGCUAAAAAUGACUCGCCCAUUUUCAAGAAAGAGCGAUUGAAAAAUCAAAUAAAGUGAAACAUGGUCGUACUUUCACCACGGUCAUAAUUAUUCUAAUCGCACUUCUAUCUAUCAAAAGAUUCCCACUACUUGUACCACACCUUGGCCUUUAAUCAUUACGCUAUAGAUAAGUACACAUCCAGAUUUACCAUAUAAUAUUAGAUUUCUCAUUAAGAAUACAAAGUGGAAGAGGAAACACUAUAAACGUAUUAGUAAUAUGUCAUAAAAUGUAAAAAAGAAAGCAUUCUACAUAAUCAUAUUUAUAUAUAAAAUAUUUAAUUGGGGAUGAAAUGACCGGGGGAUGAAGUGACCGGGGGAUGAAGUGACCAGGGGAUGAAGUGACCAGGGGUUGAAAUGACCGGGGAUGAAAUGACCGGGGAUGAAGUGACCGGGGAUGAAGUGACCGGGGAUGAAGUGACCGGGGAUGAAGUGACCGGGAACCCUGUUUAAUAUGUCUAGUACGAUUUAUUCUAAUAAACACAUUUCCAACAUUUGUUACCUUUUAGCAUUUAUGUAGCUCUUUCACUUAGGGGUCCAUGGGCAAGUUUUGACUAUAUAAAGAGGUUUAAUUGUAAAAAAAAAUCUUAAGGACCGCUAUACUAAAGUAUGAAAUAGCAUAACACACCGUUUACGACCGUUGGUACUUAUGUAUGAAAUUUCACGCGAAUCCAGUUGAUAGUUUAGGAGAUCUUUUGAUACAUAAAUACGUAAUUGAGUCGUAUUUUGCGCUUACAGUAUAGAUUAAAUCAAAUUACUUUGCCGAUGCAAAAAAAAAAUAUGUACAUACUUAGAUAAAGUAGUUAUACUUGUAAUAAAAAAGGCUAGAAAUUUUUAAAAACCAAGAAGAAACAUAGAAUUAAAUGCUAUUUAACUUUAGUUAGCCCAAUAAUAGAAUAUGCAUCCUCUGUUUGGGAUCCCUCAACUUAAAAAAAAAUAUAAUAAACUAGAACAAAUAGAAAAUAGAUCAGUGAGAUUUAUAACAAACGAAUAUUCCAAUUUGAUUAGAGUAACAACCUAGACAGGGUUAAACACCAUUUGUUAAAUCACUAAAGAGACACUUGUAUGCAAGUGUGACAUGAAGCUCUUCAAAAUCGAUUCUAGCAGCAUGGUUAUUUGCCUAAGUCGCUGGAAUUCAAGGGUUCAUUAAAAAGUUGUGUGCAAGUCCCUUGAGGUAUUCAAUGAUGUUUCUCUGUUGAUAAGUUUGUACGAUUACAUUGAUUCUUUUGUCUGUGUGAAUAUACUUUUUUCAUUUAGAAGGCGGCUGGUCUCCCCGGAUAUUGUGAUAGUAAGUGAAUGUAUUUUGAGUGGCUGGUAGUGCAGUGUGUAUGCCUGUGUAUGAAAUGACCAGUGGACCUUGAGUGUACAUGCUUGAGUGAACCGCAGUGUGUCAGGGACUGUGUGUAAAAGGAAGUCAGAGUAUAGAGAACAAGUGGCUGAAGUACAGAACAUAAAUAAGGACGAAUAAAAUCAUUGUGUUUAUUGAAGCUCGUGUUGUUUUAGUCUAUUACAGAUAUAUUGUUCAUACAUAAGGUCACGGCCUUUCUGGACAGCUCGUAUUUCAUUCAGAAAUCUGACUUAUUAUAGUCCUAUAUUCAUGAAAUAAGCAAAACCUUUAUAAUUAAAAACAAAAACAAUUCGCUGAACGGUGUUAGAAUUCAUACUAUACAUAUAAUAUUAUGGUAGAGUGAAAUAAACAUUGUUAUAAAAGCUACGUGCUUAUUAAAUUAUCGUCAAAUAAUAUCUCGCGCCAAAACGUCCCGUCGCCAAAACGGCUCGCGCCAAAACGUCCCGUCGCCAAAACGGCGGGGCCAAAACGGUGGCGCCAAAACGGCGGCGCCAAAACGGCGGCGCCAAAACGUCACGUACUCUUGACUUCUAUUAGAUUGCCAUACAGAAUGUCUUGUGGAAGUCGACCUACUGGCAUUCUACAAACGUGGCCAAGUCAGCCAAGGCGUCUGCUGCUAAUAACAGAGCGGAUGUCCUAGCACCCGAAUCAGAAACCCCAUUAGUAAUGAACCAUGCUGAGAAUUACUCCCUUAGAGCACGAAUGAGGAAGCGGGCAGUGAGUUUUAAGGUCGCCUUGUCCACGUACAAGGACAGACCUAAUGCCGUUCAUGGACCAGUUCUCUCUCUCUCUCUCUCAUUUCCUUGUCCCGAUCGUCCCUUAUGCAAAACGAGACACUCAUAAAGAAUGUGAUUUACUGUUUCAUCGUCCUCGACGCAAUGGCUGCAACGUAUGUCAUAGUUCUCCUUCCACCAAAAUACUCACCUAUAGGACAAUGUCCGACUUGGAACUAAGCUAGGACGGCCUGUUCCGCAAGGCAGAGCUCCCACUAUGCGUCCUUUCGGACUGGUCUAGUUUACUCGGCCCUGCUCUUCGUAGCACUUCCUCAUUAGUUAUUUUAUCUUGCCACCUUAUUUUAAAGAUCCACCUUAGGCAUCAGAGGUGUAAGACAUUCAGCUUUGAAUAGGUUGACCAUGUUUUACUUCCAUAUAGCAAAAUGCUCAUCACACAGAUCCGGUAGACUAAGGCUUUAGUAUCAUUAGUCAGCAAUAUGUUGUCCCACACUCUUUUCUGCAACCGUGACAUGGUGCCCAUUGCUUUGGCUAUUCUGUUGUUAAUGUCUUUAUCCAGUAGAGUGUUGUUGGAUAUGAUGGAGCCAAGGUAACAAAAGUGAUCAACAAUUUCUAGUGGUUGGCCAUUAAUGUUUACUUGAGGUGCAGUAUUUGUGUUCCGAACUUAGCUGCUGGGAAGCAGGUCAUGUCUUACAGGACAUGCGUGACAUAAAACACUAAACCAUAGCUUACAAAUAGAAAAACAAAACCUAAUAAUAACUCGUACAAGUGCUCCUUCUUCCCUAGUGCAAUUAGAGAAUGAAAUGGGUUGCCUGAAUCAGCCAGGAAAACAAACGACUUAGCAGAAUUUAAGUCGUUGAUUAACAUAAUUGACUAGAUUAACAUAUGAAAUGCGUAGGACGUGAUUAUCUUCUUUUUUGAAGUAACGUCUGCGAUAUACAAGAUAGAAUAGAUCAAUUAUUUUUUCUUUAUAAAAAUGUCUUUGUUUUUUUGCCACUGGAUCGUAACUAUUGAACAGAAUGUGCGAAAGGAUUCUGGGGUCUUGAUUGUACACAAAAAUGUCCUGAAGAAUGUCUUUAUAGCUGCCAACAAGAUACGGGAAAAUGUCUCACACUCCUGAGUCAAAGUGACACACCCCAGUGUGGUUCAGUUUGCGCUCCAGGAACUUAUGGCAUUAACUGUCAUCAGUAAGUUUUGUUACAUCAAUUCAUGUAACAGUGUAACUGGUGAAUGUAACAGUGGAUGUAAUGGAUACAGUAAUCCACCAGAAUGUACCUUUGAGUGUGACAGAAAUCACUGGGGACUUAACUGUCAACACUACUGUAGUGAGAACUGCUACAACAAAACUUGUGACAAAGUGACAGGCAGAUGUGACAGUGGUUGUGACAUAGGAUACAGUAAUCCGCCGGAUUAUAGUUUAGGGAAUGAUAUUAUUGAUAGUCAUCUUGCUUAUUCAUGUUGUCAUAUAAAUUGUUUAUCGAGAAAGUUGGGUUUGAAUUCUAUUAAUGAGUGCAGUAUCUAUUACUCUAACAAGUCAUGUGACAAAGUCACUGUAGUAUGUCAAGAGCACUUGAAAUGUAAUGAUCUGACCACAAACAUCACAGCGCAUCAUGCUAAUGGCUCCAACACUAUGGCAUUUGAGGCUAGUAUUGGCAUAGGAAUCGCUAUAGGUGCUGGCCUCAUCAUUUUCCUAGAUGUUGUGAUGCUGUUGAUAUAUAAAGCCAGAUUUUCGAAAACACUGUUAAAGGAAAGGCAAGGAAUAGAUCCAAAGAAAGAGACACAACUCCAUGAAAAAAGUAAUAAAGAGCGACAGCUUCAGAGUCUAGAGACACAUUCUGGGGAUUACGAUGAUUUUAUGCAUCUCAAUGAAUACCAACAUUUUUAUGAAAAAACUCACAAUAAAGCAGAUGCAGGUCAUGAUGAAAGCGAUUCAUCGUCAAAAUACAAGCAUGUACAGACUUCUCAUUAUGAUAGUGUAAACCAUUUGUGAUGUGUUUGUGUUAAUGUACAUAGAAUGAGUGCACGAAGUGAUUGUGUUCAACAUUUGGACUUUAUGAAAUUUAACUUGACUCAUUGAUUCUUUGUCAACUUUUAUUAUUUACUAGAUGUAAAAAUCCACGAAAGUGGAGUGACUGGCAAUACAAUCGCAGACUCUUUGGCCCACCAGGGAUGGCGAAUUCCACCCACUGAUCAGGCUGUAAGCUUUCAUCAAGCCCUGGCUAUAAUACAAAAAACAGAAAUGGAAAAGUGGUUUGAGUGCUGGGACAAGUCCCAAAAAGCCCGUGGAGUCUGGGAGCGCAUGAGGCGCCCUGACCGCACUUCCCCGUGGUGGAGGCUGUCCAGGCCUGAGCAAGCUAUUAUAGCACAGUGCAGGACAGGCCACUGUCCUGUUGGCUCAUAUUUCUCGCGGCUAUGGCCAAAUUUUGAUUCACGGUGCCCCCGCUGCGGGGAAGAAGAGGAAACCGUGCCUCAUAUUCUGUUUGACUGCCCCAGACUUGCUGAUCUCCGUCUCGACAGGUCUGGGAAACCCAAAAUUCUCGACCUGUAUGGCGACAUUUAUGCACAUACGCAAGACAGUAGGGUUUCUGUCCAGGGCUUUUGCAAGAGAGGAUUUGAGCCUCUCAAGCCCUCACUCUAAUGGAGUUUGAUGAUGAUAAUGAGAUUUAAAAAUGUUUCGUUGUCUAGUGUUUUAAAUGUUUCGAAUGUCCUUUCAGAGCUGAAGAUAUCUAUAUUCUUUUCUAAACACGACCGGGGACGCCAGCGGGCAGGGUAUGAACCCCGGUCCAUUGAGACGACCGAACUACAGUCCAGCACGCAUACCGCACGACCACUCAGCCAUCCUGAUCAGAGAGCCAUCCUUAAUUCUUUAUGUACUUAAUUACUAACAUUGUAAACGUAUUAGUUUUCUGGAAAUUAUUAAAUUGAAACAGCAAACAUCGUGUUUACAAUAAGUGUUUACAAUAUGUGUUUACAAUAAGUGUUUACAAUAUGUGUUUACAAUAAGUGUUUACAAUAAGUGUUGUCAAUAAGUGUUUACAAUA